UACGAAGGAUCCAAGCGUUAUCCGGAUUUAUUGGGUUUAAAGGGUGCGUAGGUGGACUAUUAAGUCAGUGGUGAAAGCUUCCCGCUCAACGGGAAAAUUGCCAUUGAUACUGAUGGUCUUGAGUGCAUUUGAAGUGGGCGGAAUGUGUCGUGUAGUAGUGAAAUACUUAGAUAUGACACAGAACACCGAUUGCGAAGGCAGCUCACUAAACUGUAACUGACACUGAGGCACGAAAGCGUGGGGAUCAAACAGG
rnacentral:rRNA from 1 species